CUCCCCUCCAAAAAAUAGAUUGGAUAGACGUAAUGAUAACUGUCAAGGGAAUCCCCUUAAGUUCCUGUUUACCCAAGUGGUUACUCAUUUUAUAUGAGAAAGAAAAGCAAACCCCAGACCCUCACUAUUACUAAUUUCACAUGAACCUUUUACUUGCUUGCUUAUUUGUUUUUGCCACCUACUUAUCUUUAGCCCAGACUGACCUUGAACAGGAGAUCUUCCUUACUCAGGUUCCAAAUACUGGGGAUAACAGGUGAACUGCCAUGCUUUGCUUUACAGGCUUUUUAAAAUUAAGUAUUCAAAGUGCACUAUUAAGUGUGUUUUUCAUAUGAACAAAACUAAACAGCAAUUAUUUUAAAAUCAAUUUUACCCAUUUUUCAAGAAUAAUGAUUACAGACAAAAGAAUAUGACACGUGUGAAGUUAAAGGACAUUUUAUUUACUGACAGGAUUAAAAACUGUAACUCCAGGCAGUGCAGAUGCACUGACCCCAUAACAAGGAACUGGUGUUGAUACACAAUGCUUAAGCAAUGCUACACUUAUUUUUGGCAAAGUGCUGUAUUGUUCACUCUGUAUAAAACUAUCUAAACCAAUCAGUAUAAAAUUUUUUUCUAAAAACA